CUGUUACUCCCUCCGUCCGAAAAUACUUGUUAUAAAAAUGGAUAAAAAAUGAUGUAUCUAAAACUAAAAUACGUCUAGAUACACCACCUUUUAGCCAUUUUGAUAACAAGUAUUUUCGGACGGAGGGAGUAGAAU
rfam:Triticum aestivum genome assembly, contig: Triticum_aestivum_CS42_TGACv1_scaffold_641468_T_6BL-0.216267_1BL-0.145411